rnacentral:lncRNA from 1 species
AAAAUUAAGUAUAAGUAUUUUUUUAUUGCCGAGUCAAAAGACAGUAAAUUUCAGUAUACAUCUUUUACGUUCUUAAUUUUCAAAGCAGUAAAUGAACACUUUCGUUUCAAGUGAUUCACAUUGAUGAGCAGCUGUUUUGUGCAGAAUUAAAAACAAUACAUUUUGCAGUGAAAAAUAUAAGAAAAAGUAUUCUUGUGAACUUGAAAGUCGGCAACUGUUCUCUUUUGAUUGCAUUUAAACUGUUCACAAAAUUUAGUUAAUCAAAUAACUUGGUUAAUUUACUCAGUAUUAAAUUGUUCAUUAAAUCUAUCAAAUAGAAAAAAUGUGUUUAAAAUUGAAAACACUACUGACUAGCUGUUUUGUCCAGGCAUUUGCUAAUUUUAAUAUGAUAUUUGUUGUAGGAUGCACAUAAUGACAUUCUAUUGAAAUAUGGAAGACCUGUUUUAGCGUAAAGAUGUUCAAUGUAUUUACAGCUAAAUGUAAGUUUUUUUUAUUCGAGUCAAAAGACAGUAAAUUUCAUAUAUACGUCUUUUAGUUCUUAAUUUUCAAAGUAAAUGAAUUUCGUUUCAAGUUUCCAUUGAAGAAUAGUUAUUUUGCACUAUACAUAAGGUAAAUCUGCAGUACAGAAACAAUAUUUCAGAAACAAAACAACAAUAAAACAUUUGAACUGUAUUUGAUAAAUGAGACAACAAAAAGAUUACACCAGACAAACCUAAAUAUUAUGUCAAACUAGAUUGCACAACGAAGAUAAAAUGAUAUAAAUAAAAUGGGGUCACUUAAUGAGCAAAGUGCACUAAGAUAGAUUAAAUGGCUAAAGACACAACAGGGACACCAAAACUCAUUAGUUUGCAGCUGUUUCAUUAUUCCCAGAAGAAAAAAAUAUCUGGUAAUUAUUGAUGAGGUUCAUGACCUUCUGUCUUCAAUGCUCUAUUAACAUCAUUCAGUUGAAUAACAACAUUUGCAUAAAAUACUACUACAAAUGUUAUGAAGGGAAACUAUAAUACAGUUACAAUAACCGGUAGGUAAAAUUAUUUAAGAGACGAGCAAAUAAAUACUAAACCUUACAGCAACUAAUUAGAAAGCAUGCUUUAAAAACUUUAGUUGAUAUCAUGCCUUUCUAUCAUUUAAUAUCGUCUGGUGAUGAUGAUGAUAAUGAUGUAUGGCUGGUAAACAUGCAACUUAAAUGCAUCAAUGAGAACAUACUGAUUUAAUAGGAAUAGAAAUACACACCCUAUUUUUUAACUAGACCAACACACUAGCUUGUUUACCUCAAAAGUUUGAUUCCCAAUAAAGACAUCUCACCCUAUACAGACGUUUGCAGAGUUGUUUUGUAUAUCAAGUCUUGUUUGAUAAUGCCUGUUGAUUUGUUACUUCAAUUUGAUAUUAAGUUUGAGUAGGAAAUGUUAUUAGUAUUCUUUAUAUUUAAGGGAGAAGACAAUAUUUUGUCUUAUGGACUGAUGUUAAUCAAGUACAAGUGUGCAAGAUAUCUGCAAGAAAAGACAUUGGUGUAUGAUGUGAUCCCUUCUGAUAAACUGGACAUGUUGAAAAUAUUAAAUUCCUUCCAGUUCAGUUUUUUUUUAAAGGAAAGGAUGCUAUCAACAAUGGCCAUAUUCUUCAUCACAUAGAGGUAACUUUUAAAAUUCUACUUUAUUUUCAAAAUUUGUUUGUUCCUAUUGUAUAAAUAUAGACAAAGACAAAUAAAAAGAACACAAUUUAACAUGUAAUUAAGAUGAUAAAUAAUGUCAAUACAUAGGAACUAUUCUUCAACACUUUCGGGUAUUAUUUUUUAGCUACACUGAUAUCUGUAUAUGACGACUAACAGUGAGUACUGAAGAUUAUUAGUAAGAUAAGAACUGCCGUUCCAGCACAGCUAUGCUUUGAUCUCUGUUCAUUUUGAUACUUUUAAAUCACAUAUUUUCAAAUAAAAUAAUUUAAAUUUCUGUGUAAUGAACAAAUUUAGUGAAAUUUUAAUGUUUUUCUUUGUAGACUUAAAGAUCAUGGUUGGAAGCGAAAUAUAGGCAUCACUCUUCAAAAGACUUUCAUCUGUGUGAUAGCUUUCCAAUUUGCCAAAAAGUUGGCUUGUUACAGUAAUGAGAAUUGUAAUGAAAUAAACAACUAUGACAGAGUUUUUGCCAGGCACUGCCUAUUGUCUACAUAUUCCUGAAUUUUGAUUCUUAUUCAAUGCUACGACUUUCCGCUAUAUUAACUCAUUAUUUUAUUUAUUAAAAAUAAUGGUUUUAAGAAAUGUAAAAAUAUCAAAGACUUUCAUCUAUGUGGUAGCUUUCCAAUUUGCAAAAACGUUGGCUUGUUACAGUAAUGAGAAUUGUAAUGAAAUAAACAAACUAUGACAGAGUUUUUGCCAGGCACUGUCUAUUGUCUACAUAUUCCUGAAUUGGGAUUCUUGUUCAAUGCUACGACUUUCUGCUAUAUUAACUCAUUAUUUUAUUAAAAAUAAUGGUUUUAAGAAAUGUAAAAAUAUAAAUUUUUCUCUGCUUUAUAAAAAAGAAAUAGAAUAAUAAUUUCAUGCUAAAAAAGCUGAUUAUUGUUUCAUUGACAAUCAUGGUACAUCUGCCUGUAUUUAUUUAUGGUGUUCAGCUUCAACUUUGUUAUGUCAAUGAGUUUUUGUACCGGAUUAUUUGACCUCUAAUAAACUUGAAAACAAU